rnacentral:rRNA from 1 species
GACGAACGCUGGCGGCGUGCUUAACACAUGCAAGUCGAACGGUGAAGCGCCUUCCUUUUUGGUGGGUGUGGAUGAGUGGCGAACAGGUGAGUAACACGUGAGUAACCUGCCCCCUUCUUCUGGAUAACCGCAUGAAAGUGUGGCUAAUACGGGAUAUUCUGGGUCUGUCGCAUGAUGGGUCUGGGAAAGAUAUUGUUUCGGUGGGGGAUGGGCUCGCGGCCUAUCAGCUUGUUGGUGGGGUGAUGGCCUACCAAGGCGGUGACGGGUAGCCGGCCUGAGAGGGUGGACGGUCACACUGGGACUGAGACACGGCCCAGACUCCUACGGGAGGCAGCAGUGGGGAAUAUUGCACAAUGGGCGCAAGCCUGAUGCAGCGACGCCGCGUGAGGGAUGGAGGCCUUCGGGUUGUGAACCUCUUUCGCCAGUGAAGCAGGCCUGCCUCGUUUGUGGGUGGGUUGACGGUAGCUGGAUAAGAAGCGCCGGCUAACUACGUG